UUCUCAUUCUCUUUUCUCGCCUCUCUCAUUCAGUUUUUCUCUUUCUUCUAUGGCCUCUCACUCUCUCUUUCUUCUCUUCAUCAAUCCUCUUAGUUUUCUCUUCGUCAUCGAGAAUUCAAGAUCGCCAAGGGCCGCUGCUCUGUCUACACUCUUCUCUUCUUCAUAAUCCGCAGAUCCAGAGCCUCUUUCUCAAAGAUGAAGGUGAUCGCUGCAUAUUUGCUCGCUGUGUUGGGUGGCAAGACCAGCCCUAGAAUCUGCCGAAGACAUCCUUGGCGCCGGAGCUUUCUGUUCGGAGUUUUCUGUUCAGUUCGUGGGUAUGUUGGGAUGUGGGUAUCAGUUCGUGCCAAUGUCUGGAGACAGUCUGCAAGGGAGGCAUUGCAGAUUUGCAGCAACCUCAUUCAAGUUGGUGACUACUGACUCUGUCUAUAAGAUUGCAAGUUAAAUCUUUGAACAAUGUCAAUCUUGGUGCUAUUCUUAAGGGAGGCUCGUCGAGUCAAGUUGUAGACUGCAUUCUGUGUCUCUUGUUACUAGUAUCUUGUUGAAGUACUACAUUGGCUUGGCCUGUUUUUGAAAGAUCUUACUACCUCUAUUGAUAGCUUAUGGUUCAGCAACAAUGGGACAGCUCUAUUUCUUUCACAUGAUUCUCAUUAAGAAGGCCAUCCUGCCACCAGACCUUGAAGAGAACCUGAGGCUGAGAUGUAAGGGCAGUAGGGCUACCAUUCAUGCACUUCGGCUCCGGUAGGAGAGGGAUAUAUAUAUUUUUUUUUUGGGGUUAUUCAAUUCUGGGGAUGGUUUGCUCUUUUUAUUUUUUAUUCUCGUUUUGUUUUGUGGCUCCAAUGGCCUGUUUUUUAAUUGCCUAAAAGGCUCCAAUGGCCUUGGACUAUAUUGUUGAUGGACAUUAUAAAUUUUGGACUCAGUUCUUUAUUUUGAA